GAUGAACGCUGGCGGCGUGCCUAAUACAUGCAAGUCGAGCGAACAGACGAGGAGCUUACUCCUCUGACGUUAGCGGCGGACGGGUGAGUAACACGUGGAUAACCUACCUAUAAGACUGGGAUAACUUCGGGAAACCGGAGCUAAUACCGGAUAACAUGUUGAACCGCAUGGUUCAACAGUGAAAGACGGUCUUGCUGUCACUUAUAGAUGGAUCCGCGUCGCAUUAGCUAGUUGGUAAGGUAACGGCUUACCAAGGCAACGAUGCGUAGCCGACCUGAGAGGGUGAUCGGCCACACUGGACCUGAGACACGGUCCAGACUCCUACGGGAGGCAGCAGUAGGGAAUCUUCCGCAAUGGGCGAAAGCCUGACGGAGCACGCCGCGUGAGUGAAGAAGGUCUUCGGAUCGUAAAACUCUGUUAUUAGGGAAGAACAAAUGUGUAAGUAACUAUGCACGUCUUGACGGUACCUAAUCAGAAAGCCACGGCUAACUACGUG
rnacentral:rRNA from 1 species